ACGGAAGGCAGCAGUGAGGAAUAUUGGUCAAUGGGCGGAAGCCUGAACCAGCCAAGUCGCGUGAAGGAUGAAGGUAUUAUGUAUUGUAAACUUCUUUAGUCGUAGAGAAAUAAGGUGCUCGUGAGCACUGAUGCUAGUAUACGAAGAAUAAGGAUCGGCUAACUCCGUGCCAGCAGCCGCGGUAAUACGGAGGAUCCGAGCGUUAUCCGGAUUUAUUGGGUUUAAAGGGUGCGUAGGCUGUGCGACAAGUCAGGGGUGAAAGCCCGCCGCCCAACGGCGGAACUGCCUUUGAUACUGUCGCGCUGGAAUACGGAUGCCGUGGGAGGAAUGAGUAGUGUAGCGGUGAAAUGCAUAGAUAUUACUCAGAACACCGAUUGCGAAGGCAUCUCACGAAUCCGUCAUUGACGCUGAGGCACGAAAGCGUGGGGAUCAAACAGGAUUAGAUACCCUGGUA
rnacentral:rRNA from 1 species